rnacentral:lncRNA from 1 species
AUCAGGGGGCGUCGAAGUUCCCGCUAAAAAAAAAGAAGUACAGAGAAAAGUGGAUGAGGGUGUGUGGCAUGACCAAUGAGCCAAGACCACAUGACCACUUAAACUUAACAAGAAGUGCGCACCAUGAUAAGCACAGUCAAAAACGUUUGCGUCUAAAGAACAGUGCUGUGCCGGAUCAGAAUAUUCCGUAUACGCCUUGGGUUGCUGUCGCUGCUCGGUCACCCACAGAUGAAAGUGAUCAAGAAAUGGACAUCACUCAGGUGUGGGAUCACUCGUGGAAGUUCACGGCGGAUACGGAGCCGUGCAUGCAGCUCUGGUUCGAUCCUGCUCAGGGAAGCCCCAAUGACGCCGUGGCGCGUAUCUGGGCUGAGCGGGUGGUGGCGGGCGCUGCCGCGUGGCUGGUGGCCGCGGCCCGCUCCUGACCCGGUCGCCCUGUGCCGAGCACAGAGCGCCGACUGAGGUCAGUCUUGUGAUCGAGCUUCCGCGCCGGAGGUGGAACAGCUGGAGCUGGCGGUCACCUGCGCGGGCUCGGCGGCCUGUAAGCCGUGCCGAGACGAACCGCGACACUCUUGCUAGAUCUGCACCCCAUUGUAAUCUUCUGUAGUCGAUAUUCGGUAGGUACUCAAUGCUCAUUUUUCUGAUAUUAGACGAGUGGCGUGUUUUGAUGUUACAUUGGAGACUGCUGUCUCGGGUGGCCCGACAGUGUUCGAUUGUGGUGUAAUGUAGAUACAUAGACGGGAUGCCGCGGCUCGGAUUCGUAGCUGGACUACCAUGUGCCUGUCGAUUGAGAUGCUUUGCCUGGCGAUUGAGAUGAUUCGGGGCGCGGCCCCACACUGACGCCAUGGUGCAAUGAGUGACUGGCGACAACUAAGCAAUUAUGUACUUUUGUAGAACACAUGUUUUCAUGGAUACUAGAGGCAGUCCUUUUUUCGCUAGCAGUCAUUUGGUUCACGAUACUUUCGAUACCGACAAAUAUGUUCGGGCGGCCGGUCCGUCCACAGCUAAUGCGUGCUUGCCCGCCGAUGCCUAACGGAGCGCUGUGCUGUCUACGCUCACUGGUCGCUGGCCCGAGAGCCGUUCGGUUGCUGCUGUUAAAACAGUUCUCACAAAAACACGCUGGCUGGCUGCCAGUUCUUCACCAAUGAGAGGCCCAGUAGCAUCAGCAGGUAGCAUUGUUUAAUAUUACUAUUCCAUUUUGUUUACCCAUAUGUCCGACCUAGAGCCGACUGGUAAAAAGCGGCAACCGAGCAGCCCUCCGCAGCGCUGCAGAUCAUGUACGCUCGAUUAUACACAAUAUAUGUGUCUUUCUUGCACACAGAGACAUGA